rnacentral:rRNA from 1 species
ACGGAGAGUAUGAUACCGGCUCAGAGCGAACGCUGGCGGCGUGGAUUAGGCAUGCAAGUCGAACGCGCACGACGGGAGCUUGCUCCCGUACGGCGAGUGGCGAAAGGGUGAGUAACACGUGGGUAAUCUACCCCGAGGUUGGGAAUAACGUCUGGAAACGGACGCUAAUACCGAAUAUCGAUACCCCCUCUCAUGUGGGGAUAUCGAAAGGCUUCGGCCGCCUUGGGAGGGGCCCGCGUCCUAUUAGCUUGUUGGUGAGGUAACGGCUCACCAAGGCUCCGAUGGGUAGCCGGUCUGAGAGGAUGGUCGGCCACACUGGGACUGAGACACUGCCCAGACGCCUACGGGCGGCUGCAGUCGAGGAUAUUUGGCAAUGGGGGAAACCCUGACCAUGCGACGCCGCGUGGAGGAUGAAGGCUUUCGAGUUGUAAACUCCUGUGAUCGAGGAAGAACUAUCCACUUCGGUGGACUUGACGGUACUCGGUCAGAAAGGGCCAGCUAACUGCGUGCCAGCAGCUGCGGUAAUACGUGGGGCCCAAGCGUUGCUCGGAUUUACUGGGCGUAAAGGGCGUCUAGGCGGCCGGUCAAGUCGCGUGUGAAAUUUCUACGGCUCAACCGAGAAACUGCACGCGAUACUGAUCGGCUUGAAUGCGGUAGAGGGAAGCGGAAUUCAAGGUGUAGCGGUGGAAUGCGCAGAUAUCUUGGAGAACACCGAUGGCGAAGGCAGCUUCCUGGGCCUGCAUUGACGCUGAAGCGCGAAAGAUGGGGUAGCAAACAGGAUUAGAUACCCUGGUAGUCCCUUCCGUAAACGAUGAGUGCUAAGUGUGGGAACCAUCGGAGUUCCCGUGCUGCCGCUAACGCAUUAAGCACUCCGCCUGGGGAGUACGGUCGCAAGGCUAAAACUCAAGGUAAUUGACGGGGCCCCGCACAAGCGGUGGAGCAUGUCGCUCAAUUCGAAGCAACGCGAAGAACCUUACCAGGGUUUGACAUCGUCUGGACCGCUCUCGAAAGAGGGUUUUCCCUUCGGGGACCGGAUGACAGGUGCUGCAUGGCUGUCGUCAGCUCGUGUCGUGAGAUGUUGGGUUAAGUCCCGCAACGAGCGCAACCCUUACUCUUAGUUGCCAUCGGGUAAUGCCGGGGACUCUAGGAGGACUGCCGGUGAUAAACCGGAGGAAGGUGGGGAUGACGUCAAGUCCGCAUGGCCCUUAUUACCCUGGGCUGCACACGUGCUAGAAUCGUCGGUACAGCGGGUCGCUAAGCCGUGAGGUGGAGCUAAUCCCUAAAAGCCGACGUCAGUUCGGAUUGCAGUCUGCAACUCGACUGCAUGAAUGACGAAUCGCUAGUAAUCGCGAAUCAGCAGGUCGCGGUGAAUACGUUCCCGGGGCUUGUACACACCGCCCGUCAAGCGAGGAAAGUUGGGAGCAUCCGACGUCGGUUCGCUAACCCGUAAGGGAGGCAGCUGCCUAAGAUGAGCUCGAUGAUCAGCGCUAAGUCGUAACAAGGUAACCGUACCGGAAGGUGCGGUUGGAUCACCUCCUUUCUAAGG